rnacentral:rRNA from 1 species
AUACGUAGGGGGCGAGCGUUAUCCGGAAUUAUUGGGCGUAAAGAGUGCGUAGGUGGUUACCUAAGCGCAAGGUUUAAGCUUGAGGCUCAACCUCAUUUUGCCUUGCGAACUGGGCUACUUGAGUGCAGGAGGGGAAAGCGGAAUUCCUAGUGUAGCGGUGAAAUGCGUAGAUAUUAGGAAGAACACCAGUGGCGAAGGCGGCUUUCUGGACUGUAACUGACACUGAGGCACGAAAGCGUGGGGAGCAAACAGGAUUAGAUACCCUGGUAGUCCACGCCGUAAACGAUGAGCACUAGCUGUUUGGUCCGAACGGAUUCAGUGGCGCAGUUAACGCAAUAAGUGCUCCGCCUGGGGAGUACGUUCGCAAGAAUAAA